UAAAGCUUUAAAAGGUCAGUCAUGG
rnacentral:misc_RNA from 1 species